CCUACGGGGGGCAGCAGUGAGGAAUAUUGGUCAAUGGGCGUAAGCCUGAACCAGCCAAGUCGCGUGAGGGAUGAAGGUUCUAUGGAUCGUAAACCUCUUUUAUAAGGGAAUAAAGUGUGGGACGUGUCCUGUUUUGUAUGUACCUUAUGAAUAAGGAUCGGCUAACUCCGUGCAAGCAGCCGCGGUAAUACGGGGGAUCCGAGCGUGAUCCGGAUUUAUUGGGUUUAAAGGGUGCGUAGGGGGCCUUUUAAGGCAGCGGUGAAAGUCUGUGGCUCAACCAGAGAAUUGCCGUUGAAACUGGGAGGCUGGAGUGUGUUUGAGGCAGGCGGAAUGCGUGGUGUAGCGGUGAAAUGCUUAGAUAUCACGCAGAACCCCGAUUGCGAAGGCAGCCUUCCAAGCCAUGACUGACGCUGAUGCACGAAAGCGUGGGGAUCGAACAGGAUUAGAUACCCGAGUAGUC
rnacentral:rRNA from 1 species